AGAGAGUGCAAGCGUUAAUCGGAAUUACUGGGCGUAAAGCGCGCGUAGGGUGGAUAUCUAAGUCGGGAUGUGAAAGCCCUGGGCUUAACCUAGGAACUGCACCCGAUACUGGGUAUCUAGAGUAUGAUAGAGGGAAGUGGAAUUUCCGGUGUAGCGGUGAAAUGCGUAGAUAUCGGAAAGAACACCAGUGGCGAAGGCGGCUUCCUGGAUUAAUACUGACACUGAGGUGCGAAAGCGUGGGGAGCAAACAGGAUUAGAGACCCUGGUAGUCCACGCCGUCAACGAUGAGAACUGGCUGUUGGGAGGGUCUACCUCUUAGUAGCGAAGCUAACGCGUUAAGUUCUCCGCCUGGGGAGUACGGCCGCAAGGUUA
rnacentral:rRNA from 1 species